AUGGGUUUCGGAGUUUUCAACUCAUCAACCCUGUGACAUACCUAUAACGUUGCCUCGGCGGGAACAGACGGCCCCGUAACACGGGCCGCCCCCGCCAGAGGACCCCCUAACUCUGUUUCUAUAAUGUUUCUUCUGAGUAAACAAGCAAAUAAAUUAAAACUUUCAACAACGGAUCUCUUGGCUCUGGCAUCGAUGAAAGAACGCAGCGAAAUGCGAUAAGUAAUGUGAAUUGCAGAAUUCAGUGAAUCAUCGAAUCUUUGAACGCACAUUGCGCCCGCCAGUAUUCUGGCGGGCAUGCCUGUUCGAGCGUCAUUACAACCCUCAGGCCCCCGGGCCCUGGCGUUUGGGGAUCGGCGGAAGCCCCCUGCGGGCACAACGCCGUCCCCCAAAUACAGUGGCGGUCCCGCCGCAGCUUCCAUUGCGUAGUAGCUAACACCUCGCAACUGGAGAGCGGCGCGGCCACGCCGUAAAACACCCAACUUUCUGAAUGUUUGACCCUCGAAUCAGGUAGGAAUACCCGCUGAACUUAAGCAUACAUAAAACGGAAGAA
rnacentral:rRNA from 1 species